rnacentral:lncRNA from 13 species
UAAUAAUUUGCAUUGUAAUGCGAAAAAUGAACGCAAAGUUAAGAUCGAGAUAUCGUCGCAUCGAUCUUGGCGCGUGAAGUUGACCGCGCGGAGACGAAGCCGCUUCUCGUCAUCUUAUGUUGAUAUAUUCACGUUUCAUUUGCAGAACGCGGUGGACGCGGGACGAAUCGGCUCCGUAACGGGGGCAUCAUCGCGGCUCGUUUAAUAGGACACGGCGGACGCGAUGCAGAUCGGGACGAGAGCAAGUGGCGUCGCAAAUUCAUUAAAUAGACCGCGACGGACGCGGGACGGACCGGCUCCAGAAACGAGGCGUCAUCGCGGUUCGUUUAACAGAACGCAGUAGACGGAUCGGAACCGGAGCGAGUGGCGUCGCAGCUUGUUUCAUAGAACGCAAGGGAUGCGAGACAGAUCUGCUUCGGUACGAGAGACAUCACAAUUUAUUUUUGUGAAAAGAAGAAAGGAGAGAUUUAACAACUUCAACGUAAAAGGCCUGGGAGAGACAUCGGGCAUCGGUGGAGCAACUUAGCGAUUCAUCGUAGCUUCGUUGCUGAUAACUCCACUGUUGCGCAUCAGUCGGUGAGUGAUAAAAAGUUUUACUAACGCGAAUCUAUGAAAAAUGUA